AAAAAUUUAACCAUGACUCUUCCGAGCCUGCCGUUACUGAGAAACCAGGCGCGAGCGGUUGCAGACAGCUAUUGGAUGUGUUAGAGAUUAACAGAGUCAGUGACGAACUACACAGACAGAAGAGACAGAUAACAUCAGAUGAACAAGUUUAUCUUAAUAAAAUAGGACUACCUACAGGUAUUCCAGAGGAGUUCAAGGCUCAAGACCAGGUUAGAGCAGGACUAGAGUCCAUACUUCCAUGGAUAACAAUUAAUAAAAAUGUGAACUGGAUCAAUUACAUAUAUUACAACCAACAGAGAUAUGUCAACUACACCACUGAAGUCCUUCAGCUGCUAGGUCAGCAACUGCAUGAAACCAGCGCCAUGGCAUGGCAAAACAGACAAGUACUAAAUUGGUUGUUAGCAGAAAAGGGGGGAGUGUGUAAAAUGUUUGGAACAUUGUGUUGCACAUAUAUUUCAAAUAACACCGCAGCUGAUGGAACAUUUUCUGUUGCUAUGACAAAGCUUGAAAUGCUAAAAUCUGAAAUGACUGACAAUGCUGGUAAGGGUGGAAGCAUUAAGUGGGAUGGGCUAGACAACCUAUUUGGAAAAUGGGGAGCCGUUUUGGCUAAAAUAGGGAUGAGUGCCCUGAUAGUACUGAUUCUGGUUUUCUUAUUGACAUGUUGCAUCGUGCCUAUCCUGAAGAGAUGGUGUAUGAGAGCUAUGGACGAGAAGCUGAACCUCGCUGCGGACAUGCACGGAGCAAAAAUGCUAAGUAUGUUG